rnacentral:snoRNA from 1 species
GGUCUGUGAUGAGAAAUAGCCAAAUCUGAGCACCGGGAGAUAAAUAAGCUCCCAGGUGUCAUGAUUUGUAUGGAGUUCUGAGA